rnacentral:lncRNA from 1 species
CCUUGCUUUGUAUAAAAAUUCAAAAUAUCUUAAAAUUCUUCAAAAUAUAUUUCUUCCCGCCAAGGACCUUUUUACAUCAGACUUUGAAAAUUCCUAAAAGCUAAUCGAACCGUUCACUUUGUUUCAAAUUUCUACAUAAGCUAGAUGCUAUACUUAACUUUUACCACAAAGAAAAUUGAACCGUACAUCUAUCACCGAUCGUUCGGCAUCUAAGAAACCCUAGCAGGUGCACAAAACCCUAACUUACAAGCACCCGAAAACUAUUUUCCUUAUAUCUCUUAAACUCAAGCUCCAAAUCACACAAAACUUGUACAGAAAGCUUUAUAACAAGAUUACGCUCAAUCUUGAAAAUUUUGAGCUAAAACCUCAUCAAAUUGUCUAAGAUAUAGCUCAAAUCACAAGUACAAGUAAUUCGGGCUACUUACUACCCUUAGAUAUCAAGCGCUGACUUCAAUUGCCAAUAUCUCCUUCAUAAAAGCUUGGAAUUCGAUAAACAGUAUGCACAAACUGUAGCCGAAAAAGUUUUCUCUUCAAAUCCGGUCGCCGAUCCUCGUUUGCUGUCCGUACGCGUGCGGUAUGCUCAAAAGAGUGACAGUACGUCGAAAACUUACACCUUAACUUUGAGCGCCUAUAACUUUUUCAUAUAAACCCCAAAUGACACAAAUUUUGCACCAAAACCAUAUCCAAAAACCUAAACCUUCUGACCCUAGCCUCAAAAACUCGAAUGGCCUCGAGAAACUAACCCUAAUCCCUAAUAUGGCCUCGGGCAGCCUCCUCAAAGCCCAUUGGUCAUGAUUUUUGACCAAUAGGAAUGGAGAUUUUUAUUUUUCAUCUCCAUUCAUCCAUAUUGGUGCCCUAAUUAAUCCUUUUGCUACCAAAACCCCCUUCUUCAUCCCUUUUCUUAUAAGAUUUUUACAAUGAGUCUUUUUGACACCAAAUAAAAAAUCCAAAAGAAGUUUUCAAAGGUCACCAAUGUCUAACAAAGGUGAUUCUAAUUAUUUAGAAGUCACUAUGAACUAAACCAAUCUUAAAAGCCACUAUGAAAAAGAAAUCAAAGUUAUAAAAAUUCUAUAGUAACCUUUUUAAACAACCUCUUCUCAAAGUAAUAAUCAAAUUAUAUCCUACAACCAACUAAAAUCUACUAACAUGGCUCUUACCAUGUUACUUGAUAAAUUAUAUAUUAAGUACAUAAUUACAUUAUUUUCAUAUAAUAGCCGAACCACAACACGACAUCCACCCCUUCUAAAUCUGUGCAUCCUCCAGUAUGCACCAAGAAGAACAAAAGUUGUGGUCGGCAUCAUGUUACCUCCUCAGCAAAUUCUUCUUCAAAAUCCAAUUCUUCUUCUUCAUAAGUAGAUGGAUCAAAUUCUUCUUCAACAUCUUCAAGGAUUAAUUCUUGAUUCCGUUGUUUGAAAAUUUUUAUACAUUUUCUUGUAAUUGGAAUUUUGAGUCUUGUUCCAUCUAAUUCCCUUAAUGCAUAUGUAGCAUUAUCCAAAACAUGUACAACCACUUAAGGCCCAAACCAACGCUUAGAGAACUUUUUAAGAACACUAUGUUGAUUAUCCAAGAUGUUGUCAUAUACCAAAACCCAAUCACCUUCUUGAAUAUCUUUUGGCCUCAACCUGUGUCGCUUAUCAAAUCUAUCUUUAUUCUUCAAGCGUGACUCUUUUAGCCUUAUAAUUACUUUUUCCACAUCUUCAGGUCUUCUUUCUAGUUGACGAAUUCGAAGUACAAGAAGUUCUUCUUUAGAUAUAUUGUCUUGCCAAGGCAAGAUACUCCAAGUAGGUACUUGCUCUUCAAUGGACAUAAUGGGCUUCUGUCCUUGCAUUAACUCUGCUGGCAUAUAUCCUGUCACUGAACUGUGAGUAGUCCGAUCAGCCCAAAGAGCAAAUGGCAAUAAUCUUGGCGAUUCUCUUGCUCUUCCUUUACAAGCUUUAACAAUGGCCUUUACAAUAGGAGGAUGACCUCUCUCACUCUUAGCAUUGCCUUCUGGAUUAUAAGAUGUAGUAAGUGCUAGCUUGAUCCCACAUCUCUCAAAGAAUUGUCUAGCUUCAUGUGCAUCCAAUUCCCCACGAUCAGCAGUAAUUUUUCCAAUACAUCCAUAUCUAUAAAUCACGUCUUUCAAUAAAAAUCUACAAACUCCUUCAGUGGAUUUUGUUCGUAGAGCUCUUCCUUCUACUUGGUUAGAUAAAUCUUCUCGUGCCAGAGCCAAGUAUCGCAUUUGCCAUAUCCCCAUAGGCAUAGUAACGAGGUCUACAACCCAUUUAUAAUGUAUUGCAAGUGGAUAUAUAGGAUGCAAUCCAUCUCUAUGUCGAAUCUCCGAGUAUAUCUGACAGGUUUGGCAUGAUUCUACAAACUUCACCACAUCUCUAUACAUAUUAUGCUACCAAUAUUUUUCUUUGAGUUUAUUAAAGGUGGCAUAAAUACCUCUAUGUCCAGCCCACAAACUAUCAUGAAAUUCAUGGAUUAGUUGUUUUUGCAUCUCUUUCUUGCAAACUACUCUUUGUGGCAUUCCACUAUCCCGCUUGCAUCGCUUUCAUAGGUAACCACCUUGUAAGAGGUAAUUAUAAGCCUUCCGUCUAAUCUGCUUGAAAUGAAUAUCACUCCAUCCUGAUUGUCUUGAUAAUGUGCUUAAAUAGCGUCCAAUAUCAAUUCAUUCUUCUUCAUACAAUUCUUCUGUAAAUAGUCUUGGAUAUUCAUCUUCUCUUUGUUGUGCCCUAGAAUAAAAGGUAGUACCUAUAUCUUCAGUAUCUUCUAUCAAACCUUCUUCUUGUUCAUAUCUGGCUCGAGAUAACAUAUCUGCUACAAGAUUAUCCUUGCCUGCUAUAUGCCUAAAUUCAGGGUUCAAAGAUUUAAUAUAUGCAAUCCAUCUUAGCAUAGCAAUAUCAAGGGUGUUACAGUUGGUAAUCAUUCCCAAUAGUGGCAAGCAAUCUGUUUCCACUAUCACUGGUGCUCCAAUUAAAUAAUCUCUUUCAUUUUUCAUAGCUGUAACUAUUCUCCAUAGCUCCCGUUUCACCUGUGGAUAGUUUCUUUAUCGUUUACUUAAUACUUUAGCUCCAAAUCUAAUAGCAAACAUGUUCCCUUCUUCAUCAUUUUGUCCUAAAGCCCAACCAACAGCUAUUGGACUAGUAUCAACUGUAAGUAUCACUGAUUUGCCAUCCUCAUAACUUAUCCUUCACAAUACAGGUAGAGAAGAUAAUAAUUGCUUUAGCUUUUGAAUUCUUCCUGUAUGUUUUUUCUCCCAUUUAAAUCUCUUCCCUUUUCAUAGCAAACUAUAAAGAGGAUCAGCUACAUGUGCAUAAUGAGGAAUCCAUACACAAUAAAAUAUGCAAGCUCCUAAAAUCCUCCGUACCUCUGUCUGUGAGCUACAAAUAUCCUUCAUUCGUUGUAUGGCAUCCACUUUAUUAGGAUCAGGUUUGCGACCAAACCAUCCACAUAAAUGCCCUACAAUAACAACUUCUCGAACUCCAAAAGUAGAUUUAGCUCCUGACAAUGUCAAGUGAACCUCCUCAAGUCGAGAUAAAAUUUUGUCACAGUCUAAAAUAUGAUUAGAUACAAAUUUACGGCACCCCUUCUGAUCCAUUGUUUUAUCUUUUUCUUCUUCCACACACCCUUUUAUUCGAAUAUCAUCUAAGAAGGGUAUAGUCUUUUCUGGAAUGAAAUCACGAAGAACCUUAUUCAUUCCAUUCAUCAUAUGAGCUACUGAGUUUGUUGCUCCUUGUGGCAAUGUACACAUCUUAACCAACCCUAAAGGUGUCAUCAUAGUAGUAACAUCUUUGCUUCCUUCAGCUAGUUUAAAUUGAUCAUAUCCAGAAUAAAGAUCUCCAACAGAGUAAAUAGCUCUACCAGCAAAUGCCUCAGCAAAUUCUCCAAUAAUUGGUCCAACUCUAGUAUUUCUAAUAGUUAUUUGAUUUACUGGUUGCAUAUCUUGAAUAAACCGUAGUGUUCCAUUUUUCUUUGGUACUGUAAACCAACGGCUGGAAUAUGGUGCAAAUGAUGGCUCGAGGAUCUUCAUUUACAUCUUUUCUUUUAAAAGCUUCAUAAGUUUAGGUAGAUGUGCUUUAGGCACUGAAAUUGGUCUUAAAUCCCAAGGAACAUGUGGAACUAUAAAUAUAAUCAUUGGUGCCACAACACUUGGAUCAACACAUCCAAUUUCUGAAGGUUCAAAAGCAAAGGCCUUUCCAUGCAUACUUAAUAUUUUUCUAAAUUCUAUUUCUUCAACAGGCAAUAGGAAAUUUGCAGAUCCUAUUUUUAACUCAUUAAGUAUGUUCUUAGUAAACUUAUGGCCAAUUUGUUUAGGAUCCCGUAAGACCUUCUCCUUCAAAGCUUGUUGAACUUGAUGAUUGGAAUCACUAGGUAAUGGUAUAGCUACUGGUUUUAUUUUUCUCUCCACAGUCUUGUACUUAGUUUCAACUUCGACUUCAUAAUCUUGAAAUGCUUGUAUGGCUGAGUAGAGCUCUCUUGAAUGUACUUGCAUCACUUGAUCUUCAUUUCCUUGUUCAACCUCUAAAAGUUCUUCCAUAAAAUUUUCUAAACCAAUCUCCAUAUAUACACCUAUUAUCUUAUCAUCUCCAUCAAGCACACCCACUCUUUUUAGGUCUUUUUCAGAUUUUUGCACAACUCUUUUCUCCCACUUUGGUAGAUCAUUAAGUUGUGUAUAGAUAGCAAAUCCAUUCUUAGAGACUUUAGUAAAAAUGGAAGACUUGGAAGAACCAAUAAUUGCUCUCAUUGACCAUGGAUCUGAAAUUAAUAUUAUGUCAAAAGAGGUCUAUAAACAUGGAAGGUGGCCCAUUGAUAUUAACCAUGGAUGGGUGAUUCGAGCAACAAAUAAUACACGAGGAGAUCUUUAUGGUGCUUGCCCUAAUGUGAAGGUAAAGGUUAGAAAUGUGACCACAAAACAAAAUUUUUUUGUUCAAGACACUACUUCAUACCCGGAUGAUGACAAGGGCCCUGGACACUAUAUCAAGGGACAUUGGACAAGAGCCACUUGAUAUAGUGUCCAGGGCCCUUGUCCAAUGUCCCUUGUCCAAUGUCCCUUGAUAUAGUGUCUAGGGCUCUUGUCCAAUGUCCCUUGAUAUAGNNNNNNNNNNNNNNNNNNNNNNNNNNNNNNNNNNNNNNNNNNNNNNNNNNNNNNNNNNNNNNNNNNNNNNNNNNNNNNNNNNNNNNNNNNNNNNNNNNNNAUUUCAUACAGAGAAAGCGGCUUCUCGAACUCAGAGGAGGGCCCUUGUCCAAUGUCCCUUGUCCAAUGUCCCUUGAUAUAGUGUCUAGGGCUCUUGUCCAAUGUCCCUUGAUAUAGUGUCCAGGGCCCUUGUCAUCAUCCUUGUAUUCAUCCAAAUCAAAUUGUUCCUUUUUAUUGAUACAACAUUCUGCCAAUUCAUGCUCCUCUUCUUCAGUCAAGAUUGUAUCUAAAGCAUUAGAUACAGCAGAUUCUCCUGUCAACUGCCUCUUUCGCUUAAUAGUGUUUAUGAUGACUUCAUGAAACUCUCUCUUUGCAAUGCCUAAAAUUUCUCGUAGAGUAAAUUCAAUUUUGGCAUUCAAUACUCUUUCUUCCAAGACUCCUUUUAAAUCUGUGGCUGCCUCAAUAUUAGAUUGAAGUUUAUAAGUAACAUGCUUACUCUUUCCUUUGUCUCUAUCAACCUCUAUCCUUUCUUCCCAUUUUUCUUUUGGCAAUGAAGCAUUUCCAGGAUGCAAUAUUGAUGGCCCAGCCUUAGAUGGUCUAUUAACAUGUGGUAUAGGUAAUUCUUUAUUUUGUGCUGUUUCUGCAUGCCUUUGAGAUCUCUUCUUGUUUGUUGGCUCCUCAGGAUUUUCUUCUAUUUCAUUUCUUUCCCUUUUCACCUCCAUUAGGGCUUCAUGUUGAGACUUUGCCAAAUAAGCAUGUACAGACAUAGUAUCUAUAGGAUCAUCCCAUCCUGUAGCAUUUCUAAUUAUUGUGGCUGUAUUAAGUAAUUCCUGCCUUGUUGUUUUUCCUUUAUUCAUGCUGAUAAUAGCAUGAUUCCAUAAAUCCCUUGUGUUUACAUGCUUGUCAAAAAUACCCUCCUUCUCCUUUACAACCUCGAUGCCAUAAGUAGUAGUUUCUUUUGAUGCCAUAGCCUGUUGAGAUAUAUGCUCUUCCAAAACCUUCUUCAUCCCACCCUUUCCAAAAUUGGUUUUGAGAAACUCACCUAUAUCUCGCAACGCAAUUUUUCCAUCCUUCCACAAAAUUACUCCUUGUUGCAAAAUAUUAGCAAAAUCUCCACACUCCUUUCGAGGAUGCUCCAUACUAUCACACCAAAUACAUCAUUGUAUAUACCCUGGCUUUGAUAUAGAUUUGUUCUCAGAUAAUCCUUCUUUCUCCUCUAGCUUAGCCAGUUUGAAUUGUAAGUCUUUCAUUCCUUUUACCAACUCAUCAAUUGCAUCUUUUUGUGGUGCAACUGUAGACAUAGGAAUUGGAAUAGUACUUACUGAUAUAACAGGUUUUGCCAAUUGCCUACGAGGUAUUGUAGUUGGUAGGGGUCUAGUUUCUUGCCUUACUACCACCUUACCCCUCCGGUACUCUCUUUUAGCAAGUAUGCCCACAGCUUCAGAGACUUUCUUCCAGUCAGUAGUAAGUCCAUUGUCCUCUGUAUUAUCCUCCAAUAAUAAUUCCAAUUCUCUCUAUAAAUCAUCCCUAGCUGAUUGAAGAAAUAACUCCACCUUAUCAUUUUCAAGUGUGAGCUUUUCCACUCGAGAUAAUUGAAGAAACUGUCUCUCAAAUUCUCGAAAUAACUCUGUUGCAACCAACCCUUUGUUGGAUUUAUUAACUCAUUCCAUAAAUGAUUUCCUUGUCACCCUUUCUGCAUCCUCCAAAGAAUACUCUUCUUUUAGCUGUAGGAUAAAAUCUUCCCAUCUGUCUCCAUGAGUUUUAAUAAUACCCUUUAUAUGCUCACGAAGCUCUGGUACAACUGCAUGCUCAAAUGUAAGGAUCAUAUCUUUUUCUGGCACCUUAUUGAGCUCCAUCUUCCGAGAGUAAUACUUAAGAUACUUGGAAAUAUUUCUUCCAUCAAAUUGGUCCAAAAUUCCAACAACAGAUUGCAAGGCUUUCGUAGCCAUUGCCUCCUUGCGUUCCACUGCUUGCUGCUGUUGCAUAAAAAGUGCAAAUACUUGAAACAUUUGAUUUGUAGCAGGAUCCAAUUGCAAUGGAGAAUCCCCAAUGCAAUUCCUACCACCACUUCCUUGCCCCCCUUCCAUAAUAGAAAGCCAAAAAUAUUUCUUCAAAACUCUCAACCCCAGAAAUUUUCACGUCGGAUUCACCAGGUCUGUCCUAUGGCGUGAUUUUUUAUCUGGGAAUACACUAGGUAUCUAGCUGUAGAGAGUUUAGGUUUCUUUUUUAUAUAAUGCCUUAGCUCCCAAAAACAAACUCCUUGCUUUGUAUAAAAAUUCAAAAUAUCUUAAAAUUCUUCAAAAUAUAUUUCUUCCCGCCAAGGACCUUUUUACAUCAGACUUUGAAAAUUCCUAAAAGCUAAUCGAACCGUUCACUUUGUUUCAAAUUUCUACAUAAGCUAGAUGCUAUACUUAACUUUUACCACAAAGAAAAUUGAACCGUACAUCUAUCACCGAUCGUUCGGCAUCUAAGAAACCCUAGCAGGUGCACAAAACCCUAACUUACAAGCACCCGAAAACUAUUUUCCUUAUAUCUCUUAAACCCAAGCUCCAAAUCACACAAAACUUGUACAGAAAGCUUUAUAACAAGAUUACGCUCAAUCUUGAAAAUUUUGAGCUAAAACCUCAUCAAAUUGUCUAAGAUAUAGCUCAAAUCACAAGUACAAGUAAUUCGGGCUACUUACUACCCUUAGAUAUCAAGCGCUGACUUCAAUUGCCAAUAUCUCCUUCAUAAAAGCUUGGAAUUCGAUAAACAGUAUGCACAAACUGUAGCCGAAAAAGUUUUCUCUUCAAAUCCGGUCGCCGAUCCUCGUUUGCUGUCCGUACGCGUGCGGUAUGCUCAAAAGAGUGACAGUACGUCGAAAACUUACACCUUAACUUUGAGCGCCUAUAACUUUUUCAUAUAAACCCCAAAUGACACAAAUUUUGCACCAAAACCAUAUCCAAAAACCUAAACCUUCUGACCCUAGCCUCAAAAACUCGAAUGGCCUCGAGAAACUAACCCUAAUCCCUAAUAUGGCCUCGGGCAGCCUCCUCAAAGCCCAUUGGUCAUGAUUUUUGACCAAUAGGAAUGGAGAUUUUUAUUUUUCAUCUCCAUUCAUCCAUAUUGGUGCCCUAAUU